rnacentral:rRNA from 1 species
GACGAGGGAUCCUAGCGUUGCUCGGAAUUAUUGGGCGUAAAGCGGGUGUAGGUGGCUUGGUAAGUCGGGUGUGAAAGCCCAGGGCUCAACCCUGGAAGUGCAUUCGAUACUACUGAGCUUGAGUGCGAGAGAGGUUAAUAGAAUACCUGGUGUAGUGGUGAAAUACGUAGAUAUCAGGUGGAACACCGGAGGCGAAGGCGGUUAACUGGCUCGACACUGACACUGAGGUGCGAAAGCGUGGGGAGCGAACAGG